GCUGGGUGUGGUGGUGCACGCCUGUAAUCCCAGCGGCUGGGGAGGCUGGUCAGAAGGAUCAGGAGUUCAAAGCCAGCCUCAGCAAAAGUGAGGCACUAAGCAACUCAGUGAGACCCUGUCUAUA
rnacentral:sRNA from 1 species